rnacentral:tRNA from 1 species
CCGGAAUAGCUCAGUUGGCAGAGCA